rnacentral:piRNA from 1 species
UACAGCCCAAUUCAAACCUUCCAUCUUGUU